CAGAUGUCCUGUGCCCUUCUCUGGGGCUGAUCCUGCCUUGAAGGAGGGUGCCGGUGGUGGGGCUCUGCUUGCCCAUCUUUCCUGUGUGCUCCUGGCCAUUGCUGCUGCCUCAGGGCUCUCCUGUUGCGUUUGCUGCCAAGCCACGUCUGCAGCUCUGUCCAAGGCGAUCCCACGCAGCGGGUGGGCUGCAUGCCGUGUGCCAUGGCUGCCUCACCAGCCUGGGGCUGGCAUACCCACGUGCGGCGUCGCGUCGGGGUCUGCAGAAGGAGGUGGUGCGAGGCGGGAGAGGCGAGGACGCGGGUUCCACGCGGCACGUCGCAGCCACAACCUGCAAACCGCGGGUCGAGAGUUUCACCCAUCAGUGGAAGUGACAGAUGGUCCCCACCACGUCUGUGCAUGGUGCCAAGGAGGACAGAAAUCGGCAGUGUUUCAGUUGGAGCCACUAAUGGAAGUUGAUUGCUCUGGGUGCAUGUGGAUAAUUCUUUUCAGUGACCACUGCAUGAGAUUUCACCUCAGGAGUGGAGGGAAGUUCCAGAAGCAUGACAGCUGGGCUUCAAAAGGCUUGGAAAGAAAACCUAAUUCAGAUGGAAAUAAAGCAAACAAACAUAAUCAACAUCAAAGGUCAUACGACAGUA